CCCAUAGCCAUCUUAAACUAACAGUUUCUGAAGUCAGACAUCUGUUCCCAUCCAAAAUCCUCCCUGCUCCUUCCAGCAAGGUAAACAGAAUCUUUAUCCCCUUGCCUUGAGCUUCAAAUGCACUUCCUCUUUAUUGUCCCAUGCCUCAGAUGGCCAAAAAUCUGCCAACAGACCCUGACUUUCCUUAACUCUGCCUGGCAGACAGACUCUUUUCCUUUCUUCCCCCUCUGCUUCAGAGAAGAGGCAAACGGCUCCUGACAGAGAAGUAAAAAAGAAAGUUCACUCCAUACAGAUAGGACAUCAGCAGUGGAAGGAACUAUUCCAUCCAGGGCUGUCUUGGUGAGCCAAUGCCUUCACUGGCGUCAUUCUAUAGGAUCACUGCAGACGGGUUAUUUACAGGAACAUGAGUGAGGUGCACAGGAGUACAGGCGAGGGGUUACUCGUGGGAGCAUAGAUGAGGGGUUACAGGACCUUGGGUUUAAAGUAGCCACAUCACUGACAAGCCCCACCCAGAGUGGUAACGAUUCAUGGUAUCCUGACUUCUGACCAACUUCCUACUUCCUGUGACUUAUGUAGCAGGAGGGUUGGGGUUAGGACAGGACACAGUAAAUAAGGGCUCAGAUAAGAGUCAGAUAACAUCAUCUUUGGGCAUUAACAGCACCAUUAUCUCAGUCAAAGACCUAUCACUGCAUUGUUUUCCUGUUUGGUUGCCAUGACUGCAGGACCAAAGUAUUCUGUUGGUCACCAUAGCAAUAUGCUAAGUUAGACAAAGGUAGCUUCACUUCAAUAGCUUCUAUUCAACCUCAGUCUGUAUUUUCUCUUGCCACAUAACAUAGCUCUGGAUGGCUGUCCCAGGCUCACAGUGACAGCACACAUACAUCUCUCUACCAUGAUGAUUUGUUAAUCAAGAGGCAUCAUGGAAAUGGGAAAUCCAGAGGAGACUCCAACAUGGUUGUCCUACUGAGUGACAAGGCAAGACUUUAGAGCUUCCACAGCCGUGUGUCUCCAAUACAAGCCUGCUAACAAAAGGAGCUGACACUCUGAAAUGUAGACUUGGAGAGCUCGAGUGAAUUUUCAGGAAGUGUGUGGGAAAGUCCAAUCCCAAAUGGAACCCAAAGGACAGAUCACCAGGCGCUAGGCAAGCUACCACAAGUGGGCAGCUACAACAGCUGGGGUGGGGCACCCUGGAGAUGUGGGCUGUGCUGGGCCUUCAUGCGCCUUCUUUCUGCCCUGUGUCUCAGUCCCUUGAGUUGGAGUGUUCUUUCCCUUCCCCAGAUUCCUGUGCUUUAUGUCUGUGUCUGCUUCUCUUUCUGUCCCACUGAGCUUCACGUACCCUGAAUUUUGAUUUUACUUUCAGUUACAGCUCCAUGGACAGGCUAAGGAGGAAGUGCAGGUUGAUGCCACCGCUUUUCAAGUUCAGAGUCUUAACAGGGCUUCCUUGACUGAGUUCCUGCUGGAUGCUGUGGACACUCUGAUGUGUUUUACUGUGCAUGGCUGUAUUUCUCUAUGUGCUACUUGCACUCACUUAAAACCAGAAGCUUGGCUAUGGGAGGAGGUCAUAGCUGGGUUUACUGAUUAUUGGUGGAGACUGAAAUGGCUGGAUUUUUUUUCCAGAAUGAAAAAAAGCUGAAAAUCAUAUUCAAGCUACAAAGCUUUGAACAGGUCACAUAAAUGUACAGAAAAGAUGCACAUUUUAUAUGUGUGAUAUUAAAAUUUCUUUUUAUAUUAA